rnacentral:rRNA from 1 species
GUGCAGCAGUCGCGAAACCUCCGCAAUACACGAAAGUGUGACGGGGCCAUCCCGAGUGCCGUCCGCUGAGGACGGCUUUUCCCCAGUGUACACAGCUGGGGGAAUAAGGAGAGGGCAAGCCUGGUGUCAGCCGCCGCGGUAAUACCAGCUCUCCGAGUGGUGGGGAUGCUUAUUGGGCCUAAAGCAUCCGUAGCCGGCUGGGCAAGUCCUCCGUUAAAUCCAACGAUUCAAUCGUUGGGCUGCGGGGGAUACUGUCCAGCGUUGGGGGCGGGAGAGGCCGACGGUAUUCCCGGGGUAGGGGUGAAAUCCCUAUAAUCCCGGGAGGACCACCAGUGGCGAAGGCUGUCGGCUAGAACGCGCCCGACGGUGAGGGAUGAAAGGCUGGGGGAGCGAACC